rnacentral:rRNA from 1 species
CCUACGGGUGGCAGCAGUGGGGGAUAUUGCACAAUGGGGGAAACCCUGAUGCAGCGAAGCAGCGUGUGGGAAGACGGCCCUCUGGAUUGUAAACCACUGUCCUCAGGGACGAAGAUGACGGUACCUGGGGAGGAAGCUCCGGCUAACUACGUGCAAGCAGCCGCGGUAAUACGUAGGGAGCAAGCGUUGUCCGGAAUUACUGGGGGUAAAGGGAGGGUAGGCGGGAUGGCAAGUUGGGUGUUAAAUCUACCGGUCAAACUGGUAGGCGCACUCAAAACUGCUAUUCUUAGUGAAGUAGAGGCAGGCGGAAUUCCGAGUGUAGCGGUGAAAAGCGUUGAAAUUAGGGGGAACACCAGUGGCGAAGGCGGCCUUCUGGGCUUUUACUGACGCUGAGGCUCGAAAGUGUGGGGAGCAAACAGGAAUAGAUACCCUAGUAGUC